GAUGAACGCUGGCGGCGUGCCUAAUACAUGCAAGUCGAGCGAACGGACGAGAAGCUUGCUUCUCUGAUGUUAGCGGCGGACGGGUGAGUAACACGUGGAUAACCUACCUAUAAGACUGGGAUAACUUCGGGAAACCGGAGCUAAUACCGGAUAAUAUUUUGAACCGCAUGGUUCAAAAGUGAAAGACGGUCUUGCUGUCACUUAUAGAUGGAUCCGCGCUGCAUUAGCUAGUUGGUAAGGUAACGGCUUACCAAGGCAACGAUGAAGAGCCGACCGGGGGGGGGGGUGGGCCGCCACAGAGGGAAGGAGACGCGGACCAGACUGCGGGGGGAGGCAGGAGGGGGUCUUACGGAAGGGGGGAAGGAAGCCGGGUGCAACGCCGUCGGGUGAGGGAGGGUUUCCGGCGGGUUAAGAUCUUUUUUUGGGGGAGGAGAAGGGUCUGUGCGAUGCGGCGGGGUUGACGGGAGCCGAGUAAGAAGCCCCGGCUAAAUACGUG
rnacentral:rRNA from 1 species